CUUAAGCAAUCCCUAUUUUUUUUUCCUGAUACUACUAUUCAUGAAUGUUGGUUCUGACUGUAUGUUUCCAUAUAGUAGAAAUUUUUAAUCAAGUUUUAUAUUGAUAGUGAAAAUAUUAUAUUAAGGGUUCUUGAAAAUCACAGGCAGAAUAUAUUGUUUCUGAUGCAUUCAAAUGCAUAUGCUCAAGACAGGGGAGGAUGAGUGAAUUUAUUUUUUAUUUUUCCUUUAGGCAAAAAUCCCUUUCAUGACCAAGGAAGGAGGCAGCAACGCUUUUACAGUCCUGAGAAGUGCCUGUUACUAGAAAUGAUUUUCACUUUGUUCCUGAAAAGUAUGCCAAGUUUACUGGUGUCUGCUGGUGAAGUUAGAAACAGAAGCAGGCCUGGCAGGAGGGAGCAUGAGCUUUCCAGUGGAAGAUGUGACAGCAGGGACCUGCUCCAGGAGUCUCAACUGGGACAUCUCUGAAUGGGAGACUCUGGACUGGUGACUGAAAUUGCUUAGAAAAUACUAACUACAUGUGUGAGUUGCUGUAUGUAUAAGCCUGUGCCAGAUUUAUUCAGACUUGGUACUCUGAACCGACAAAGGUAAUCUAAGAUCAGGUAAUCUCAAAAAAUGCUGUGGGUUCACACUACCUGAUUUCAGAGAGCAAGCUUGUCUUUCUAAAUUAAAAAAAAUGUCCCUGAUGUCAAGAGGGACUUAUACUGGGAAGUAAGAGGAAUAUAGAUGGCUUACAUUCACACUAGCUGGGCGAGUUACCUCUAGAGCAGACUCCCCUAUUCACAUCCCAUAGUGCUCCUUGGACUCCUUCUGGUUCCCUCUAGAGCCAACAUACAAUUCUGAUUUUUCUGUGUUGUCUUUCAGUUUGAAGUUUCUGAAAUGGUGUGAAACUGUCCAUCAGCCUGUGAGAAGGGUGCUCUCUUAGCAUCAGAGCGAGGGUACGUGCUAUGUGUUCUGGGAUGGGGUAAGCUUUGAGGGCACAGCCAGCCUGGGUGGUUUAGA
rnacentral:lncRNA from 1 species